rnacentral:rRNA from 1 species
AAUCAACGCUGGCGGCGUGCCUCAGACAUGCAAGUCGAACGAUUAAAGCUCUCUUCGGAGAGUGUAUAGAGUGGCGCACGGGUGAGUAACACGUAAGUAAUCUACCUUUGAGUGGGGAAUAACAGUCGGAAACGACUGCUAAUACCGCAUAAUGCAGCGGCAUCGCAAGAUGACAGUUGUUAAAGGAGCAAUCCGCUUAAAGAGGAGCUUGCGGCAGAUUAGCUAGUUGGUAAGGUAAUGGCUUACCAAGGCUACGAUCUGUAUCCGGUCUAAGAGGACGGUCGGACACACUGACACUGAAUAACGGGUCAGACUCCUAC